GGGCGAUUAGUUUAGUGGUAGAACAGCGGUCUCCAAAACCGCUAGUGGGGGUUCGAUUCCUCCAUCGCCCG
rnacentral:tRNA from 1 species